rnacentral:rRNA from 1 species
GUCUACAGCCAUACCACGUUGAAAAUACCUGGUCUCAUCCGAUCUCUGAAGUUAAUCAACGUCGGGCCGAGUCAGUACCUGGGAAGGAGCCACUUGGGAACACUCGGUGUCGUAGAUG